GAUGAACGCUGGCGGCGUGCCUAAUACAUGCAAGUCGAGCGAACGGACGAGAGGCUUGCUUCUCUGAUGUUAGCGGCGGACGGGUGAGUAACACGUGGAUAACCUACCUAUAAGACUGGGAUAACUUCGGGAAACCGUAGCUAAUACCGGAUAAUAUUUUGAACCGCAUGGUUCAAAAGUGAAAGACGGUCUUGCUGUCACUUAUAGAUGGAUCCGCGCUGCAUUAGCUAGUUGGUAAGGUAACGGCUUACCAAGGCAACGAUGCAUAGCCGACCUGAGAGGGUGAUCGGCCACACUGGAACUGAGACACGGUCCAGACUCCUACGGGAGGCAGCAGUAGGGAAUCUUCCGCAAUGGGCGAAAGCCUGACGGAGCAACGCCGCGUGAGUGAUGAAGGUCUUCGGAUCGUAAAACUCUGUUAUUAGGGAAGAACAUAUGUGUAAGUAACUGUGCACAUCUUGACGGUACCUAAUCAGAAAGCCACGGCUAACUACGUG
rnacentral:rRNA from 1 species